GACGAACGCUGGCGGCGUGCCUAAUACAUGCAAGUUGAGCGAUGAAGAUUGGUGCUUGCACCAAUUUGAAGAGCAGCGAACGGGUGAGUAACGCGUGGGGAAUCUGCCUUUGAGCGGGGGACAACAUUUGGAAACGAAUGCUAAUACCGCAUAACAACUUUAAACAUAAGUUUUAAGUUUGAAAGAUGCAAUUGCAUCACUCAAAGAUGAUCCCGCGUUGUAUUAGCUAGUUGGUGAGGUAAAGGCUCACCAAGGCGAUGAUACAUAGCCGACCUGAGAGGGUGAUCGGCCACAUUGGGACUGGGACACGGCCCAAACUCCUACGGGAGGCAGCAGUAGGGAAUCUUCGGCAAUGGACGAAAGUCUGACCGAGCAACGCCGCGUGAGUGAAGAAGGUUUUCGGAUCGUAAAACUCUGUUGGUAGAGAAGAACGUUGGUGGGAGUGGAAAGCUCAUCAAGUGACGGUAACUACCCAGAAAGGGACGGCUAACUACGUG
rnacentral:rRNA from 1 species